GGGGCGCCGCUCGGCCUUUCUGCGGCGACACGUGGAGCGGAGCGGAGCGGCUCGCGCCGAGAGAGGAGAAGUCCUUCAUCUGUAAAGGAGAAAACAUGUCUGUGCUGAAGAGCGGACGCCUCGCUGUGUCGCGCAGCUGUUUAACGGUCACUUGUCGUGUUUAUGACCAUAACCCUCCUUAAUGACGUGCCUGAGGUUAUAAAUGUGUAAUAAGCCUUGAGGUUCCUGGAUGUUCUGCCUGGUGAGGAAGGUGAGGAAGGACCUUCAGAUCGUGUCCAGACUGCCCUCGUGUGGUGAAGUUACUGCAGAUCUCCGAACUCCGCAUGGGUUUGGACUGAGACUGGUCACUGCCGUUGUCUCCCGUCGGAUGGGACGUGACUGCGGAUGCCUUGAGGUCUUAAGAUUCUGGCCACCAGGGGAUCAUCGGUCUUAGUAAAGGCUGCAGGAGGACGUCCGUUGCCCAGGUGUUGGACUGCGAGGAGCCAGCAAAGCCUUUAAAUAAAUAGAAGAUCUUGAUUUGAAUUCUUUAUUUCCAGAUGCUCAGAAUCAGGGAUCCUGUGGAACCUUGACGCAUCUUAUUAAAGCUUUAUGUAGAUUUAGGGAAUGAUGGUUGUGAAGUGUGUGAUCAUGUCUUUGUUUUGAUGUUGGAGCUAUUAAAUUCUAAGAGAUGCUUUAAAACUACGAAGAGUCACUGUGUAUAAACCCAGCUCAGAGCCAAAAAUAUCCACCAGAAACUGACCACUAAUAAAGUCACACUAUGCAUAUAAA